AUGACUUACGCGUUCUGUUAUCAUUUCCUACUGGAGGAUCCCUUAAUCCAAUUCAAGGAGGAUUAUAAAUGGAUAGAUAUCUUUGAUUUGCACUAGAGACUGAGAGUCGAUGGACUUUCAUUAGGAUCUAUUUUAUUAACCAGAUUUAUCAUUACUUUAGCUACCUUAGCAGGUUGGCCAAUUACACGAAAUUCAUGAUUAUUCUAUUUCCUGAUCCUCGCAAUGUAUGGUGGUCAAAAAGGAUUUGUUUCUUCGUGAGACCUUUUUUUUGUCUAG
rnacentral:rRNA from 1 species